ensembl:lncRNA
GUAGGUGGCACCGUGUUUGCACAGUAACAGACCUAUAGCUUGCUCUUGGUAAAUAACUUAGUCAGCAGAAACCAGAACAUUCCCUGGCUGUAGAACUUGGCAGAGACAACAGGCUUAAGAUAAAUUUUCGAUGCAGAGGUCACGAGAAUAUGAUGAGAUCCAGAAAACAAAGCAUCAAUCAUCGCAGUGAAGAUGGUGAUCUGGAUCAGAUCCAAUCAUUUGUAGUGGUAACUUCAUGGAGUUCUUCUUGUAAAUUAGAGCAGUUGAGUGCUGAGGAAGAACAGAGUUAGCAGCCUAAGUGGGAAGCCUCUCGUUUUCAAGAAAGAUUGAUAUUUAUGGAUUUUGAAGAAACUAUUUGGAAAGUCAAAUAUCUAACAGCUGUAAGGAAGAAGGGAAGAAUUAGAGAUGAGGGUUAACUUUCAGCAAAAAACUGCAUGUCUCACAGUAGAAAAGCACAAAUAUUAUCAUUUCCUGAAUAUUUUCAUUGGAUAUUGCACACUAAAGAUACCACAAUCCUGCUCACUGGUAACUCUGGCUGAAUGGCACAUCUCAGUGUCUGCAGAGUAGUCUUAACAGCGGCCCACAAAACUUUGGAUAUAUGAAGCAGAUCUUAGGAAAUCUCAACACCGGGCAACUCCAGUUUUUUAUUAUUGUGUAAAAAAAUGUAAUAGUUGAAGUUAAAAUUUAUGAAAACUCAGAUUAAAUGUUCAACUUUUGGAUGGAUAAAGCUGGGUCUGACAAAUAUCUUAAAGCAUUUUCCGGUCAUCAUCAAAGAAUGACUUCCAAUAGCUUCAAAGGCUGAGUCUUUGGCCUUAAGUUUGAGAAAACAAAUGGGAUUCCAUGUCCACAGAGCCAGCAAGAACCUAAUAUGUACCUUUAAUACAAUCUUAGUUUCAGGCUGUGCUGUAGUAUUAGUAAGCUGCAGAGAAAGUACUGAAAACCCCUCAGACUAUAUGGAAGUUAAGAGCUAAGGGUAAUCAUUAUAUUUCAGGUUGGAGCUGAAGGACAUGAAAACAAGAUUUCUUGUCAAAGAUAUUCCUGGUUGAUUAUGCUAUGCACUUCCAUAGGUGAAAUACUGACCUCUUGACAUCACUAGAAAUUUUGUCUUCAGUUUAAUAGAGACUCAAUUUCACUGUAGGCAUCCAACCGGCCAAAUACAUAAUCUAGGAGAUAACUGAAAUAUACAGUCAUAUUUUUUUUGUUUCUGCUUGGGCUAUUUUAUGACAAGUUCAAAGUGUGGUACAUGUACAGGUAUUCUUGUGAUGAGCAUUUUAUAAAUGGA